AACCUAGCACACCUGCGGUGUGUACCUGCGGAAGGAUCAUUACCGAGUUAGGGUCUUUUGGCCCGACCUCCAACCCUUUGUUUAUUAUACCAUGUUGCUUUGGUGGGCCUGCCUUUCGGGGCUGCCGGGGGCAUCACUGCCCCUGACUCGUGCCUGCCAGGAGCCUUCUUAAAUUCAGUGUUCAACGGUGCUGUCUGAGUCCCAGUAUCAAAAUAUCAAAAACUUUCAACAAUGGAUCUC
rnacentral:misc_RNA from 1 species